UCUUCUGACACUGAGUUGCAAGAACUGAUGUUAAUUCCAAAAACGAGUAUUGUCUUCAGCAGCCCUGAGAACAGACCUGGCAGUUCCUUGAAGAAAAUGCACUUCUCACAGUAACUCCUACUGUUCAAUAUUUUCACAUCAUAUUUCUUCUGUAUAGUGUGAGUUCCUGGAUAAGAAUGUUCAUCACAACACCAUCACAACUAAUUCCUGGCUAAUAAAAACGGGAAAAUGGCGUGGAAAUGGAAAAUGGCGUGAUGUGGUCUUCCUUCACCAGCAAGACGUUCUAGAUCUGCCAGGCAGAGAGCACUGUGUUUACUUUCAAGAGAUCUGACAAAUUCUCACAUUUAAAUUAAUUCACAGUUGUUAAACAGCUACUUAGUCCUUCCUACCCCAUUUUAAAAAGAAACUAUCUUUGAAAUAUAAAGAGGGAGUUAAGGGUGAAACUAUUGAGUUUCAGAAGUGUUGUCAAUAUCAUGAUUUUACAGAAUCAUCAAGCCGAAGUAUAAAAUUAGAGAAAUGCAUCAAAAGGAACAGAAUGCUACAAGUUAUGACAGGAUGUGUCAGAAGCCAAUCUUCUGAAACUUACAUUUUUAAGAACUAGGCAUGUAGGAAUAUGUAAUUUCUAAACUCAAGAUCAAUAUAAGUAACAGAACUAACACUCAAGUAGUUCACAGCUCCCUCCCUUC
rnacentral:lncRNA from 1 species